rnacentral:rRNA from 1 species
UACGUAGGGUGCAAGCGUUGUCCGGAUUUAUUGGGCGUAAAGAGCUCGUAGGUGGUUCGGUUAGUCGGAUGUGAAAUCUCCAGGCUCAACCUGGAGGGGUCAUUCGAUACUGCCGUGACUAGAGUUCGGUAGAGGAGUGUGGAAUUCCUGGUGGAGCGGUGAAAUGCGCAGAGAUCAGGAGGAACACCCGUAGCGAAGGCGGCACUCUGGGCCGAUACUGACACUGAGGAGCGAAAGCGUGGGGAGCGAACAGG